rnacentral:tRNA from 1 species
CAAAGAAUAUUUUAAUAAAAAUAAUAAUUUUGGAGAUUAUAGAUAGGGGUUAUUCCUUUUCUUUGA